UUUUUAGUCCGUAAUUGCUGGAAAUAUUCUGACCUUAGAACACUUGGUGUAAAAACCAAAGAAUUGCAUGAUCUAGCGUUAUCUCCAUACGUUUGGUAGCUAGGAUUGGAUCUCUCUAUUUCUUUAUGCAAUUGACAAUUGUUUGAUGCCUAUGGCCCAAGGACGUUCCUUGGCAAUUUAUUAAUUAGUAAUUGAUUAGAGGACGUUCCCUAAUUAAUUUAAUCAUAAGGAGAGAUAUGGUGGUGAGAAGCAUCUUCCACCCCCAUAAAAAAUCUAUUGAACCAAUCAAGAUAAUCUAAGUUUCAAUGAUCAAUCCAAACAACCAAAGUGGAUCCAUAUCUUCAACUAGACUUUUCUCAUAUUGAUUUCCUCUUUUAUUUUAAUUAUUUGCUUUCUAUUAUUAUUCUCAUUAUUAGUUACUACAAUCAAUCUCAAACCCCCCCAUUUUACUUUUACUGCAAUUUAUUUUUUGCUUUCAAUUUUUAUCUCAUAUUUAGUUUAUUUUCUUGGUCAUAAAAAGAGAAAUAGGUGAGUUCUCAAUUCUCUGUGGAUUCGAUCAUUUCACCACUAUCUACAAGUGUAAAUUUGUUGGUAACCAGAAAGGUUAUUUUUGACCGGCUUCGACAACCGCACUGUCAAUUUUUAACCCUUUAUCCCUCUUAAAAUUUAAUUAAAAACAUAAGAAAAACAAGGAUCUAGGCUUACCUCUUGGAUAUCUAAGGGUAGAAGCAACCAAACUUGCAGAUGAGAGAAAAACGAUCUCCGAAGGUCUCCAAGGUUUAAAAACUCGGAUUCAAGGUCAAAUCUUCAAAAACAAAAUAGAAUUCAUGAAUUUCUUAAGAGAUUUGAAGAAAAAACCACAAAAGCAUUAAAGGGUGGCAAAGACUCACCUCUGCCCGAAAAUGGAGAGAAAAACUCUCUCAUUUUCAAGCUGAAGGCCUCUUAUAGGUGGCUGGAUAAACCACCUUCGGGGGUCAAAAGAGGAGGUCCCGCGACGGCACCACCUUCAGCGGCCAAACUUAAGGUUCGGCGACCGAACCUGAGUUUUCCUUCCAAAACUUUUUUCUUCAAAACUCUUUUCUUUCUUUCUUAAAACCUUAAAAUUUUCAAAAUUCAUUUUAUAAAAACUUUAUUUUACCCUUUCUAAGGGGAUUUCAGCCUCGAGAUUCCGAGUUGCAACGGAGAUUCCGUCGAAAGAUUGAAAUUCUGACGCCGGAGUCUAGCCGGAUAUUACAUCAACAAUCUGAACAAUGAGCAAAUGCUCCAAUACAUCAAAAGGUUGCAGGCUGCUCUCGAGCAAUACAAGACUAUGGGGGAGGCAUCAUUCAUGGUUCUCAUGGGAAGGGAGAAAGCCUCCAUUAAUACCCAAGGACUCGAAUAGAGACAAUCCAGACGUGAUCCAAAGGGAAGGCCAAGUUCGAGGAAGAUGAGUCAUUAGACAAUGCUCCAAAGGAUGUCGACCGCAAGAUGGUAUGGGCGGUUUAAAGAUACCAGAAGGAGUAGAAAAAGGACUUUGGCCUGGACGAUGUCUUGUCCCUGUUAGAAGAGAUCUUGGCAGAGACAUUCUCUACCAAGUUCAAACUAUCAAGCUUAGACAAAUACAAUGGAACAACAGAUCCUAUAAGUCACCUGGUGAUCUUUGGGACGACAAUGCAGCUUCUAGAUGUCAAUGACUAUGUGUUGUACCGAGUAUUUCCAUCAACACUCACAGAUUUAGCUCAUAAAUGGUACCAACAUCUGAGGCCAAGUUCAAAUCAGAACUUUACUCAAUUUGCUAUGUGAUAGAGCAUAUUUUAGCCUAUAUUUUCAUGAUCUUAUUAAUGUUUAUUUGCACCUAUUCUACCUAAUUUUGUGGUUUUAAUCAUGUUUUGCAAGUAUUAGGUGUGAAGAAACAAUUUGGAGAAAAUGCUCUUAAAAAUGCCAAAAGAAGCCAAAAAUAGAGAAGCAACCUUCAGAGCCAACUUUCAGAAGCCAAAAGUGGACCACCUUCGGCAGCAACCUUCGGCGGCCGAAAGAGGACUCCAAAGACGAAAGUGGAUCACCUUCGGCGGCAACCUUCGGCGGCCGAACCAUGCAGACAGAGACGAAAGUCCACUACCUUCGGCUGCCAAAUCUUUAUGUUAGGCCGCCGAACCUCCAAAAAUCCAACCUCCGAAACUCAACUUAGGCAGCCGAAAAUGAGCUCUAUUGCACUCCUUCCUUGUCCAAGAAGCCAUAUCCUAAGUUACCAUAUUUGAGGAGCCAAAUAAGGGAAGUAUCUUGAGAUCCAAAUCUUCAAUAUUCACAUUCAAUUAUUGGAUUUCAAGAUCCCCCUUAUUAAGGAAAGAAAAUCCAAAGAUCACAUGCUUCCUACUUAGUGCCAUGCACAUUCAAAAUUCAAAAGGAGUCUCUACCUUCCUUAAUAGUGCAUGGGCAGCCUCUUAACUAUUUAGGCAACAUCUUGGAGACCUUGGGCAGCAAGUAAAAAGACCAAAGUGCCCCCACUUGCCUUCAAACACAUGCAACUCGUUUUUGCCUUCAUACAUGCACAAACAAGGCACAUGCAACACCAAGGACACUUUGGACAGCCUCUAAAAGCCUCCUGGACUUCCAUGAAACCCUAGGCAGCCUCCCAAGACCUAUUUAAAGGCUUCAAGAAGAUAAGAAGACAGAUUCGGUUCCACCUCUUCUCCAAGGAAAUUCGGCAAGGCCUCUAAGGCUCUCUCUCACCCUAGUUCUUCUUCUUUUGCUUUCUUUUCUUUUAAAUUCUGUUUGGUUCAGCCAUGAGUGGCUAAAACCCUUUUUCUAGUUGAGGAUUGGUUGAAACUAAGGUUGUUUAAAAGGUUGUGAGAUCUGAACAGAAACUUUUGUCUUUGAUUUUAUUCAAUAUUCAUGCAAUUGAUGCUUAAUUCUAAGAUUGCUUUGUUGUUUUGAUCAAAUUGGCCACUUGAUUCUUGAUUGCAAGGUUAAUUGAUUGUUGGAUUAGGAUAUUUGUUAGUCCGUAAAUGCUGGAAAUAUUCUGUCCAUAGAACACUUGGUGUAAAAACCCAAGAAAUUGCAUGAUCUAACAUCAUCUCAUGCAUUUGAGUAGUUAGGGUUUGGAUCUUUCUUGUUCUUCAUGCAAUUGGCAAUUGUUUUGAUGCCUUUGGCCCAAGGGCGUUCCUUGGCAAUUUGUUGAUUAGUAAUUGGUUAGAGGACGUUCCCUAAUUAGUUUGUUCAUAAGGAAAGACAUGGUGGUGAGAAGCGUCUUCCACCCCCAUAAUCAACCUAUUGAAUCAAUCAAGGUAACCAUGUUUCAAUUAUCAACCCAAACAACCAAAGUGGAUCCAUAUCUUCAACUAGACCUUUUUCAUAUUGAUUUCUCUCUUAUUUUAAGAUUACUUACUGUUUUAAUUGCUUUUAUUAGUUGUUAAUCAAAUCAUCUCAAAACCCCCUUUUUACUUUCCUUGCACCUGUUUCUAUUUUUGUUUGAUCACUUGCUUUCACUUGCGCUUUCAAUUAGUUCUAUUGGUCUUGAUUGAGUUGAAUAAAUAAGUAAUCAAUUCUCUGUGGAUACGAUCCUUCACCACUGUCUACAGUUGUAAUUUGUAGGUAACCAAGAAGGUUAUUUUUGACCGGCUUCGACAACUGCUCCUGUCAAAAAUUGGCGCCGUUGCCGGGGAAUUGAUUCACUUGUUUGUUUAAUUUUUUCUUUUAUGACCAGGUCUGAAAGAAGGGACACACUGCCCUUUGAUCCAGAAAUUGAACACACUCUCAGAAGACUUGGAAAGCAAGCCGCACAACCUUCUGCCCCAACCUUCGGCCGCCGAAAGUCAGCAACCUUCGGCCGCCGAAAGUCCUGAACUCCAGCAAACCAAUCUCGCACCAAUGGCAGAACCCCAAGCACCAGCUGCUGCCCAUGAUAGACAUGCUGCCCAUGAUAGACAUGCUGCCCAAGGCCAGAUAGUUCAAGAAAAUCCAGCAAAUAGGCCACAAGCACAAAGGGAAAGAACCAUGAGGGAGUUAGCAACUCCCAUAGGUGAUUAUGCUCCACUUUGCAUCACCUAUCCACCUCUAACAGUUCCCUUUGAACUGAAAUCAGGUUUGAUUCAUCAACUUCCUAAAUUUAGAGGUUUACCAAAUGAAAAUCCACAUAACCACUUAAAAGAAUUUAAGAUUAUUUGCUCAUCCAUGAGACCUCAAGGGAUCUCUGAAGAUCAUGUUAAACUAAGAGCCUUCCCUUUUUCAUUAGAUGACCAUGCUAAGGAUUGGUUAUUUUAUUUGCCAUCUGGAUCUAUAACUUCUUGGGAUGAUAUGGUCUGAGCCUUUCUGGACAAAUACUUCCCACCAUCUAAAUCAAUUGGCAUAAUAAGAGAAAUCACUAGCAUAAAGCAAAGACCAACUGAGGACUUAUAUGAUUAUUGGGAAAGGUUUGAAAGACUAUGUACAGGUUGUCCACAACAUGAUAUGUCAGACAAAGCCUUCAUUCAAUUCUUCUAUGGAGGAUUGACUCCAUCAGAAAAGAAACUCAUAACUGUAGCCUGUGGAGGAUCUAUCCUAGACAAGACACCUAGGGAGAUGAAGGAACUAAUAUCUAAUCUUGCAGCUUCAUCCAAGCAAUAUGAAGAAGAGAGACAGACGCAAAGAGGAAUCCAUGAGGUAAGUACAUCCUCUGUUGAAUCUCAAAUUGCAAAACUAACUUCUCUUGUAGAAAAGAUUGCCCUUGGCCAGGUCCAACAAAUGCAAGCAAUUCAACCACCUAGGCCAUGUGGGAUUUGUUCAUAUAUGGGACACCCUACUGAUCAAUGUCCCACCCUUCAAGAAGACAAUCAGCAAGCCAAUGCAAUUGGGGGGUACAACAACCAACCUAGAUAUGACCCAUACUCCAAUACAUACAAUCCAGGUUGGAGAGACCACCCCAAUUUUAGUUAUGGAAAGAGCAACAAUGAUCAGAAUUACCAAAACUACCAAAGGAGUCAAGCCCAACCAGCACCUUCAAAUCCAAAUCACAACCUUGAGAAGAUCAUGCAAACAAUGAUGGAAACAAUGGUGAACACCAUGCAAGGCGUGCGACAAGACAUAAGCCAAAUGGCCACAUCUAUAGGCCAACUGCAAACCCAAGGUAAGCUCCCUUCUCAAACUGAAACUAACCCUAGACAAAAUGUUAGUGCUAUUACUUUGAGAAGUGGCAAAGAGCUUCAAGAUAAUAAUCAUGAGCAAGAGGUAGAACCAAGGCCACCUGAAGCCUCUCCAUCUCAAUCUGAACCACCUCAUGCGCACAAGACUGAUCCAAAGGUGAACUUUCACAUCCCACCACCUUUUCCAAAAAGAUUUGAAAGAACGCAAAAAGAAAAAGAGGAAAAGGAGAUCCUUAAGACUUUCAGAAAAGUGGAGAUCAACAUACCACUGCUAGAUGCUGUCAAGCAAAUUCCAAGGUAUGCCAAAUUUCUGAAAGAGUUGUGCACCAACAGAAGAAAGUUAGCUGAAGGAGAGAAAGUAAGUGUAGGUGAGGUAAUUACUGCUGUUAUUAAAAGAGAACUCCCUACCAAAUGCAAGGACAAAGGUAUGUUUGCUAUCUCUUGUAAAAUUGGGAAUGUUGGUAUCAAGAAAGCCAUGUGUGAUCUUGGUGCAUCUAUUAAUGUCAUGCCUCUCUCCAUCUAUAAAUCUCUCAAUGCAUGUACACUCAAAGAAACAAGGGUUGUGAUACAAUUGGCUGAUAGAUCUGUGGUAUACCCCAUAGGUGUUUUAGAAGAUGUCUUAGUCCAAGUAGAUGAACUUGUCUUUCCUACUGAUUUUUAUGUGAUUGAUACUAAGGAAGAUAGUUGCAAUACUAGUUCUGACAUUCUUCUUGGACGUCCUUUCUUGAGUACUGCUAGAACUAAAAUUGAUGUGCAUGAUGGUACUCUUACCAUGGAAUUCGAAGGGGAAGUCAUAAAGUACAAUGUGUAUGAUGCUAUGAAAUAUCCACAUGAUAUGUCCCCUGUUUAUGGUCUUGAUAUCAUUGAUUGUUUGAGCCAAGAUGUGUUUAAUGAAAAUCAAGAUUCUGUUCUAGAUGAUGAUCUUUGCAGGAUUGAAAAUCUGAAACUAAAGGAAACAAUCUGCAGCAUUCAGCAAGUGGAGAUCAAGCAAGCAGAAGACAUUCAGCUGCCGAACAUAGCCCACUUUCGGCCGCCGAAUCCUAUUGCUCCGCAGGAACCAGCUUCUGUCGCACCUCUUCAGGAAAACACUGCGCAGGAAGAAGGCAUUCUUCGGCCGCCGAACAUCUUUCGGCCGUCGAACCCCACUGACUUGCGAAAGCCACACCCAUCGCCGAAGCUCACUCCGCAAACUGAAGAGAUUCGGCCGCCGAACUCAGAACCUUUUCGGCCACCGAACCUGACCCAGCAGACUUCAACACAAGCAAGCUCCUCCGAACCUCCUUUGCAACACUUUCCUGAAUCUGAAGAAUCCAAGGAAGACCUACUUGCACAAAUCUUUCUUGCUCAGUCUGAUGAGCCAUGGUACGCCGAUAUGGUAAACUACUUGGCCACAGGUAACUUACCUUCUGACAUGCAUAAGCACACUAAAGAUAAGAUAAAAAAAGAUGCCAAAUACUAUGUGUGGGAUGAACCUUAUUUGUGGAAACAUUGUGCUGACCAAAUGAUAAAGAGAUGCAUUCCUGAUCAAGAAAUAGCCUCUGUACUUACUUUUUGUCAUUCAUAUAGCUGUGGAGGACACUUUGGUCCAAGGAAAACUGCUCACAAGAUACUUGAAAGUGGCCUAUUUUGGCCCACCAUGUUUCGAGAUACUUUUCUGUUUUGUAGGACUUGUGCUAGGUGUCAACAGACUGGAAAUCUGAGCAAAAGAAAUCAAAUGCCACAAAACCCCAUGAUGGUCUGUGAGGUAUUUGAUGUUUGGGGCAUAGACUUCAUGGGACCAUUCCCACCAUCCUUUGGAUACACUUAUAUCAUCCUUGCAGUGGAUUAUGUAUCCAAGUGGGUGGAGGCUAGAGCAACUAAAACUGAUGAUGCCAAGGCAGUGGUAGACUUUGUGAAGACCAACAUCUUUGCCAGACAUGGAGUACCAAAAGCAAUCAUCAGUGAUAGAGGGACCCAUUUUUACAAUAGGGUGGUGGAAAGCCUUCUCAAAAAACACAAUGUCAUCCAUAGAACAUCCACAGCCUACCACCCUCAGACGAAUGGGCAAGCUGAGGUGUCCAACAGAGAAAUCAAGGCCAUCCUUGAAAAGACAGUUUCACCCAACCGAAAGGAUUGGAGCUUAAGAUUAGAGGAUGCCUUAUGGGCCUACAGAACUGCCUACAAGACUCCCAUAGGUAUGUCUCCUUAUAGACUUGUAUAUGGGAAAGCUUGUCACCUUCCAGUUGAGCUUGAGCACAAGGCAUAUUGGGCUGUAAAAAAUUGCAACAUGGACCUCAAGGAAGCUGGCCAUCAUCGCAAGUUGCAACUGCAAGAGCUUGAGAAAAUAAGACGAGAUGCAUAUGAAAACUCUUGGAACUACAAAACAAAGACCAAAGCCUCCCAUGACAAUCAUCUUUCAAGAAAACAAUUUGAGGUUGGUGAUAAAGUCUUACUCUUUGACUCUCGUCUAAAACUAUUCCCAGGAAAGCUACGGUCUAGGUGGAUUGGACCAUUCAUUGUAGAACAUACAUACCCACAUGGAGCUGUAGACAUCCGAAGCAUAGAAACUGGAAAAAUCUUCAAGGUGAAUGGACAUCAUCUGAAACUAUACUUUGAAGGGUUCGCAGUACAAGUGGUGGAAGAAAUUCCACUACAACAUCCUUCUGCCUAGAGGAUCAUGCCUCGCACACCACACCCCAGGGAAGUACUCAGUUUCCUUUAUUCUCUUUCUUCUCUUCUUUUACAUUGAGGACAAUGCAUGAUUUAAGUGUAGGGGUGCAUAUUCCUUCUUCCUUCUUCUAUCUUCUUCUUCUCUUCUCUUCUUGGACAAUUUCUCAUACUUUCAGAUGCAAAAAUUUUUUCUUUUUAAGUCCUUUUUAGUCAAUUAGCCACAGUUAAAUUUUAAUUUGUCUAUGCUUUCAAUAAAACACACACAACCACAACCUUUAUCUUCUUCUUUUUGUUUUGCUCCACUCAAACUUAUGAACUAUGGUUGAAUGGGUCUUUCUUUCCAUGACCCCAUUGAUGUAAAAACUCUUUAAACUUAUGUUGAAUCACUUGCAGUGGGUUAUAUUCAUGUUUGAGAAUUGCCUUUUGAAUUGAAUCUUUGAGUUUGCCAUGGUGAAAAAUAUAUUGAUGACCCUCAAUUGAUUGAGAAUAAAUUAAAAUUGUGUGAAUGAACUUAACAUGACUUGCUUUAGCAAUUGGUGUUGAUUUGCCCAAAUCAUUGAGAGAAAGAAAAUUCAGCAAAGGCAAAGGCCUCAAAAGCACAAAUUGAAAAAUUGUUUCAAUGGUCAAAAGACUAUGAAUAGGGCAAGUAGCCACUUGGAUAGGUGACCAACUGAAAAAUAUAAACCUCCAAAUCAAAAAUAGGUUGGUGACUUUUCCAAGCAAACUCAAAGUGUAAAAAGCCUGAAUAAAGUACUUCAAGGUAAGGGCAAGUCAAUCCAAAAGCUAGAAAAAGUCUUAACAACUAAUGUGCAUGAUCUCUCUUGAGGAAAACAAAUCCUAGCCAUGGUAAGCAAAAGGAGACAAGGAAAAGAGGUAAGUAAUCUUCAUGCAUAUAUUCUUCACUGCACUGCUUCAAAAUAAGUGUCUAGAGUAUGAGUUUAAGUGGAAAGAAGGAUCUAGAGGAAGAGAACUCAUAUGACUAUGUUUGUUUGCUUGAGGACAAGCAAAAGCUUAAGUGUGGGGGUAUUUGAUAGAGCAUAUUUUAGCCCAUAUUUUCAUGAUCUUAUUAAUGUUUAUUUGCACCUAUUCUACCUAAUUUUGUGGUUUUAAUCAUGUUUUGCAAGUAUUAGGUGUGAAGAAACAAUUUGGAGAAAAUGCUCUUAAAAAUGCCAAAAGAAGCCAAAAAUAGAGAAGCAACCUUCGGAGGCAACUUUCGGAAGCCAAAAGUGGACCACCUUCAGCAGCA
rnacentral:lncRNA from 1 species